UGAGGAAUAUUGGUCAAUGGACGCAAGUCUGAACCAGCCAUGCCGCGUGAAGGAUGAAGGCGUUCUGCGUUGUAAACUUCUUUUAUCUGGGAAGAAACCUCAGUUUUCUAAUUGAGCCGACGGUACCAGAGGAAUAAGCACCGGCUAACUCCGUGCCAGCAGCCGCGGUAAUACGGAGGGUGCAAGCGUUAUCCGGAUUCACUGGGUUUAAAGGGUGUGUAGGCGGGUCUGUAAGUCAGUGGUGAAAUCUCCGAGCUCAACUUGGAAACUGCCAUUGAUACUAUAGGUCUUGAAUUUUGUUGAGGUAGGCGGAAUAUGUCAUGUAGCGGUGAAAUGCAUAGAUAUGACAUAGAACACCGAUUGCGAAGGCAGCUUACUAAGCAAAUAUUGACGCUGAGGCACGAAAGCGUGGGGAUCAAACAGGAUUAGAUACCCCGGUAGUCC
rnacentral:rRNA from 1 species